CGUCUAGCUACCACACGGACGGCGACCACGACGCGACGACACAGUCCGCAUCCAUCGGCGAAAAGGGACGUAGGGGAGGGGAUCCAUUGGCGGGGCGGAGGCCGCGGCGUCCACCGGCGGCAAGGGGGCGGCGGCGCCUAGCUUUCUCCCUCCAUCUCUCACUCACUGCAGCCGCUGCGGCUCAGGUCCUCCCUGAUGUGCUCUCUCUCAUGUCCAUGUCAGCGAUACCUUCUGCAGCUGCUGAUCGAGAUAAGAGAAAAGAUGCAAGGUUCAGAUUAGUACUCCAGUAGCUUGUGGGAGUUGGCACGGUGGGACAUGGGAGAGCAUUAGGGAAGUUAGCGCAGUCCAGCCGUGGCUAUGAUGCACGUCUCUUGGCAAAAUUCGAGAUAAGUUUUCUUUUCAAGUGCAUUUGAUUAAUUCUCCCGUAGGAGUAUAUAUUUAAUUUUAAGAAGUACAAGUAAUUGUUCGUAGUAUAAAAAGUGAAUAAUGAGGCUGGAGCUAUGUGUGCACCAUGUUCUGUUUAACUUUGUUUGCAGCUUAAAGUUUAGAUAGUUGCGUUGAUAAUUUUAUGUAUGAUCUUGCUCAUCUUCUGAAACCAGUCAUUUUCUGAAAUCUGUUUGCUAAAAAAUUUCAGUAGCUAGCAGCCUUGGACGCCAAAACAGAACUGUAAUAACCGGAUCUUGAACUUCAGUUGUGCCCACGUAUGUGUCGUGACCAUAGCCUGAUCGCUUCAUGGGAUCUGUUUCUGUUGCGAGACCAGGAGACUACGCUACGUGUGAUUCUUUGAAAUCAAUGGAAAGUUAAGUACGCGUUUGCUGUUGAGCAUUAAACAAUUCCAUUUUCCUGAAAAUAAUUUUCAAUUCUAAUCAUUUUCGCGGUACUGUAGGAGAUGCUGUUUUUUGAAUGGCUCUUUUGAUUGCUGCACUUUUUAGCAUAUGAUUUACAGAUAUACACGAAUUAUUGUGUUUUGUAUAGGACUUAGAUCUCAGGGAGCAUAAGCGUCUCAAAGGGAGCUUUAGGCAGAAGCUGUUCAGGGUACUGUACAGUUUGCUUACACAUUCAGAUUUUAUUGGUGAGAGCCAUGCUUAUGACUAUCCGUCGUCUUUCAAGAGAUUCCAUUUGAUUGUUUGUGUGCUCUUAUGUAAUUAGAGUGCAAGGAUAAUUUACUUUCAACAUGUUUGGCCCGUGAGACACAAGCAUUUUUCAAUGUUGUUUCUUAUGAGAUAUGGUAUCAAUACUCACCGUGAUGUAAGAACUGUAAAAUUGUUAUUGUUGUGUGCUUCCUUUUUAUCUUUCAUGUUGGGUGUCUGAUGAGUUGAUUAUAAGGCAGUCAGGUUAGGUGUGCAUGGCUUUAACUAAAUUAUAUUGCAAUGUGCAUAGAAUGCAUGAGGAACAUCAACCUUCUUAAAAUUUGUUUCUACAUACCUAUGAUUGCGUUCUGUAGUAUAAUAUUUAACUUGCAGUAUUAUAUUUGUUUGCUUCUUUCUCCCAAAUUUUAUGCAGAUUGCAAUUUCAAUUGAUGAUGGACUAUACAUUAGAAAUUACUAGAUGAGUACUUCUCCCGUUGUAUUGCGAAGAACAUCCCUAAUUAACAAAGAAAAUGCUAAAUAGACAACUGCAACUCAUUUGUAUUUACUUCUUAAUGUUCCUGGACAGAGUAUUUUGAAACAUGUUAAUAUCAAUGCGUGUGUAGGUUGAGAUACGCAUUUGCUCCAUGGCGUCGUAUGUAUCAGUUUAUUAGAGUGAUGCUUCCCCAUUUUGGUGUUGUUUUUCAAUUCACUUAUUCAAGUUUUGUUCGCUUUGGUCCUAGCAAAUAAAACUUCUGUUUUGUACCAGCUAAAUUGAUUGUCUAUUGUCGAAUUUCAUGUAGAGGAUGGCAUGUCGGUGCAUUCUUCUCUCGGGCACCCUUUGCUCUUUGGGGCUGCAAGUUACCGGGCCGCGAGUGUUGCCUUGAAGCUUCGCAAGACCAGCAAUAAAAAAAGGGAGAUUAUUUCGAAUUGAUUUUUUUCCAUCAACCAAUUAAAUAGUAUGUGCAGAGAUGUUACCAAGGUCAGCUUUCUGUACGCACACUCAGCAACACCAACACGUCGAACAUGUCGAGUAUGUCUAGCCAGAUGUUGUGAACUCUCACCGGUUGAGUGCAGAUGUUACAAGCAUUUUGGAUUCUUGCACAACUCACAAGUUGUGCCUAAUGGAGAUUAUGGAAUAGUGGUAGUGAACACUGCCCAGUUUUUUUGCUAAUGCACUGUACAUACAUAGACAAAGCUAAGUAGUACUACAUAUAUUUCAUAAGUUCCCGUUCCUAUCCUGCACUUAAGCUGCUUUUCACAAUUUACUGAUAAUUGCGCUGAUAACCGGAAAUCUGGGGAGACAUUUGUUCUGGUGCAGACAAAAUAGCUAGGUUGUACAUGAAGUUCCUAUAUCUACUGGAGAGUUAAACAAUGGCAAAAAAGAAACUCUAGACCUUAUAGUUCUGUUUGAACAUAGGUGGUUCACCUCUUCUUUGAAUCUAUCUAUAAUAUCUAAAUUGGAGCAACGCACUAAAAGUAAUUCUCUCAACAUGCAAGCAUGCCACAUCAUCUUCACCAGUUUCAAUUUGAUUGUAAGCCACGUCAGCUACGUCCUAUCUAUUUCUUUUAUUUAUUUCGUUAUUUUUAGUAGCAAAUCAUCAUCCUUUUUCCAGAGAUUUUUUUAGACGCUAUGCUAGAGGCUGUGCUCCUUCAUCUUCUUCAGAGUUAUCUCACUUUAUGGACGCUGAAACUGCAAAUACCGGGAACACAUGGGUUCCCUAUUCAUCUUCUCCACCAAAUUAAUGCAAAGGGUAAGUGAAACGAAUGGAUCUGCUCUAGCGUUUAAGUACUGUAGCUGAUCCAUUCCCGUUAUCUUCACCACAAUUUCACAAGGAGGCCUCGACUCCCGUCGCCUUCUGGUGUUGCCCGUCCAUGCUGGAGCUGGACCAGAUGUUGUAGCCAUCGAUCUCCCUCCUAUAUUUGGGUAUCAGGCUAUCAGCCUUAGAUUAAGAGCAGCGACCGCUCCUCUACAAGAACCUCCUUUCGGGUAUGUGCCCUCACACAUUGAUACAUGCAGUAUCGACUCAUCAACAUGCAGAUGCAAUUGACCUUUGAUAGAGUGCAGCCAGGAGAUGUGAGAAGUCAAGUUUUACUCCGCCACAAGUCUUCUGAUGGUCUAUCGGUGCCACUAAUUAUUUCUCUUUAUAUGUUUUCAAGGUUAGCAGUAGCACAGCGUUUUAAUAAAUAGACCCACUGCAUCUUGCUUAUCUAUACAGACUCAUAUUCAUGAAGGGUGUUGCUAUCUUGAAUUUGGCAAUUUGCUGCCUGAUAGCAACGUGGUAUAAAAAUCUGGCAUCUCUAUCUUUCAAGUGCUCAAUUAUUUAUUUCAGAAGUAUAUGUGGGACUAUUUUCCAAAUCAAGUAAUUCAUGUGCAAUUUCCAUUGUAAUUAGUUUCCACCUGUGGUCUGUCUCAUCACUUCCUACAAAUCUUCUGUAUUCUUCAUAUAUCUAAUCUGCUAUGUAUCUAAGCUGAUAUUUAACGAAAUUAUAACUGUUUAUAAUGACUCAAUUAGCAUUUAGCAAUGAACAUGUAUAUUGUUAUUUUGAUAAAGAUUAACAUGUAUAUAUGUAGCUCAAUAGAGUCAGUUGCCUUCUUUCAUCAUUCAGCAAUCUGAGGUACUUCAUCUUAUUUAUCAGAGACACUUUUUUUGUUUUCAGUAUUAUGGUAAUUGUGCGUGCUAAUUCGCUUAUCUACAUAACCAGCAGUAGAAGAUUGGUACAUAAUGGCAUGCAGAAUGAGAUAGAUGUAGCGGGUCAACUUGGUAGGCAUUUAUAUAUGAGGCUGAUGUUCAUGUGUAUGGAGCAUGUGGAGCAGGAGGACUUCAUUUUUUUGUUCAUACCGUACCUUCUUAAAAGCUAAGUUGGCUACAUUCAAAAUUAUCUUUGCCGAAAGAAACAUUUAUUGUUGGAUUAGUAAAUUUGAUCUGAACCGAGUUUGUUGUACAAAGAUAUGUGUGUGGUCGAAAAGUAAAUUCCACUCUAUGAUAAUAAACAUAGUCGAGUAAGAAAUGGGUUUUAUAACACUAUAUUGAUAUUUGUUGCCUUUACACAUUCGGAAUCUAAAUGUGCAAUGCCUACACUUCCAACAUUGUUUCAUUCACAAUUAUCUUAUUUAUCCUUCCCCAGAAAUAGUUAUUCUCCUUAUCUUUACCACAUGCACUAAUAUGUAAAAGUUUGUUCUUUACAAUAUAAUUUGCUACUGAUCCGCAGCAACGCAUGGAGAAUCAUCUAGUUCUAUUAACACAAGAAGCAGCAACUUCAAACAGGAGAACAUAAAAUAAAGUGUUGUAAUAAAAGAAUGCUGUUUUUCUAACUCAUUAAUUUAAGAAAGAAGAAAAGAAAACUUAGAUGGUGUUGGGAGUUGUAAGGAGAUUUUUAUAUUUGGAAUAUAUGUUCAAUGAUGGAAGAUUGUUCUUAUAAUACAGAAAUAGAGCGAGAUCGUCUCCAAAGUAUAUUUUAGAUGGAGUACCAAUUAGGAAUUAACUGGAUUAAUAAUCUUUUGCAAAUGGAUAAUAUUUCAGCAGCCAAGCACUGAAAUUUCUUGAUGGAAUUCCUAUUGCUUGCAAUAUUUUGAGAAACUGGACAUUAUAUGCAGUUGAAGCACUCAAAGGUACUGAUGCAAUUUAAAUUUGCACCAACUUCUUACAGCUGAAAACUACUACUCAAUUCUACCUGCUUGCAAUAUUCUAAUAUAUGUUCCCUCGCUACCAGGUCAAUUCUCUCAGAUGAUCCUCUCAAGCCAGCCAAUCCACAAUAGUUGACACAUCUUAAUGACCAAUUAAUCAAGAAAGAAGUUCCUACCAUGUUACCAACUAAUGCCAAAUUUAAAUUUGCCAUGCCAAUUUGGGAGAGUAAAUGUUGUCGGUUUUUAUAUAUGGCCAGACCAUGUAGUGCAUCCGCCAUAGAGUUGGUCAUCUCUGCAUGAGCAUGCAAAAGAAACUUGGUAGAGACAGUAACUAGUUUCCUACUUCAUUGUGAGUUUUUACAAGAUAGUCAAUUUAUUUAGUUUUAUAUAUCCAGUACUGUUCUCAUGGUCCAUUUGGCAUUACUGUCAUGUCAGUGGCCUUGCCAGAAAUAAUAUUGUACAUGCAGUUUGUAUUCCAUUAAGCUGUUUUCAACA